CACCGACAGCGACACACAGACAGACAGACAGACAGACAGCGACAGACAGACACCCACACACACCCACACACACCGGGACACGCGGGCGAGAGGUGCAGCAUAAAGAAAGCGGCGGCGCGGGGCCUUUGCACUAUUUUUGGUGGCGGUUCCUGUUGCAGGAAAAAAAAAAAAAAAAAGGUUUUUCCCACUCCGAAAAGAAAUGCACACAUGAAAAAGUGGAAUUUUUCCAGGAAAUAAAUGGAAAUAUUCCCUCUAUUCCAACUUUUCCAGCCCAAAACUGAAUGCACACAUGAAAAAGUGCAUUUUUCCAGGAAAUAAAUGGAAUUAUUCCCUUUA